GGUCACUUCACUUUCCCAUGUUGAGGCAAAGAAGAGAUAUGAAUUUUUGGAGGCUGUUAGUGCGACGAUGGACUCACAUCUUCGAUAUUUUAAACAAGGAUAUGAACUAUUGCAUCAAAUGGAACCAUAUAUUAAUCAGUAGUUGGGAGAGGUGAUCUUUGCAUGAGUCCAGUAGAAUUUGAACCUUCUGUAAGUGAUGAUUUAGUACUGGAG